UGAGCAAUCUGCCCUUCUCAUCGGAAUAAGCGUUGGAAACGACGUCUAAUGCCGAAUACGACCUCCUUUCGCAUGAUCGGAGGUGGAAAGCUCCGGCGGAGAAGGAUGAGCUCGCGGCCUAUCAGCUAGUUGGUGUGGGUAAUGGCCCACCGAAGGCGACGACGGGUAGCCGGCCUGAGAGGGUGACCCGGCCACACUGGGACUGAGACACGGCCCAGACUCCUACGGGAGCAG
rnacentral:rRNA from 1 species